GAGUUUGAUCUUGGCUCAGGAUGAACGCUGGCGGCGUGCUUAACACAUGCAAGUCGAGCGAUGAAGUUUCCUUCGGGAAACGGAUUAGCGGCGGACGGGUGAGUAACACGUGGGUAACCUGCCUCAUAGAGUGGAAUAGCCUUCCGAAAGGGAGAUUAAUACCGCAUAAUGUUGAAAGAUGGCAUCAUCAUUCAACCAAAGGAGCAAUCCGCUAUGAGAUGGACCCGCGGCGCAUUAGCUAGUUGGUGGGUAACGGCCUACCAAGGCGACGAUGCGUAGCCGACCUGAGAGGGUGAUCGGCCACAUUGGGACUGAGACACGGCCCAGUACUCCUACGGGAGGCAGCUAGUGGGGAAUUUGCACAAUGGGGGAAACCCUGAUGCAGCAACGC
rnacentral:rRNA from 1 species